UCCACAAUAAUUUCUAUCAAUUUUUAUUCAUUUUGCUACAAAACAAUUAAUCUUUGAUCUCAAAUCAAAAUCUCCUACUAUAUCAAUUAUCUAGCUUCUACAAAUUGGUAUCAAAGCAAAGUUAUGAUAGCGGGCGACUAACAAUGGCCGGCUCUACCACCUCCAUUCUUCCAAUGGCUGGCUAUGCCAUCUCCACAUCUAUGAUCACCUUUGCCG
rnacentral:lncRNA from 1 species